UCCAUCGCAUGGUGGUUGGUGGAAAGCUUUUGUGGUUUUGGAUGGACUCCCGGCCUAUCAGCUUGUUGGUGGGGUAAUGGCCUACCAAGGCGACGACGGGUAGCCGGCCUGAGAGGGUGACCGGCCACACUGGGACUGAGACACGGCCCAGACUCCUACGGGAGGCAGCAGUGGGGAAUAUUGCACAAUGGGCGCAAGCCUGAUGCAGCGACGCCGCGUGAGGGAUGACGGCCUUCGGGUUGUAAACCUCUUUCAGUAGGGAAGAAGCGAAAGUGACGGGACCUGCAGAAGAAGCGCCGGCUAACUACGGGCCAGCAGCCGCGGAAAAACGCAGGGCGCAAGCGUUAUCCGGAAUUAUUGGGCGUAAGAGCUCGUAGGCGGUUUGUCGCGUCUGCCGUGAAAGUCCGGGGCUCAACUCCGGAUCUGCGGUGGGUACGGGCAGACUAGAGUGAUGUAGGGGAGACUGGAAUUCCUGGUGUAGCGGUGAAAUGCGCAGAAAACAGGAGGAACACCGAGGGCGAAGGCAGGUCUCUGGGCAUUAACUGACGCUGAGGAGCGAAAGCAUGGGGAGCGAACAGGAUUAGAUACCCUGGUAAGCCAUGCCGUAAACGUUGGGCACUAGGGGUGGGGGACCAUCCACGGUUUCCGCGCCGAAGCUAACGCAUUAAGGGCCCCGCCUGGGGAGGACGGGCCGCAGGCAAAACCCCAAGGAAAGGACGGGGCCCGCACAGCGGCGGACAUGCGGAUAAUUCGAUGCACGCGAAGACCUUACCAGGCUUGCCUGG
rnacentral:rRNA from 1 species